UGAUAACAAUAGAUGAUUUAAGAUGUUUAAGUUCUAUAUAAUUAGUUGUAAGUAUAGAAAAAUCACAAACCAUAAAUGCAUAUUGUAUGUUAAUACUGUAUAUGUCUAUACAAAACAUGAAUUAUUAUGUACAUUUUUUUAUGUAAAUUCUAAAAAAUAUAAGAAGUUUGCUGUAAAAGAAAGUAAUGACAAUAAGUUAAUUCCAUAAUGAUGUAUAUCUCACAAUACAUGUUAUGUUACAAAACAUACUUAUACUACCCACGGUGCCGAGUCCUCGUCCAGCAUACUUCAUCCACCAAGUCUCCCCUUCUUCACCAGCUGACAGGACCAAACGAGACUGACAGUACUAUAAGGAUGUUGAUGUACGGAAAAUCGACCCGAAAUAACCGCUUUACAUGCAUGUGCCAAUGACAUAUGAGUAAUUUGACAAGAUAAAUGCUGUAAUGGAGCUGGACUAACUGGUGGAGGACUACUGCCACCUCCUCCACUAUUUAUUCGUUCAGUUGUUGCAUGUUCUAAAACUAGAUAUGGAGUGAACUUUAUCACGGAUGAAUUUUGAGCAUCAGGAAAUCCAAGAUGAUAAAGCGUAUUCGCUCUAAUUUUUAAAAAACAUUCAAAAAUCUAAAAUGCAUAAUAAUUUUAUAAUAAGAUACACUAAAAUGUUAACAUAUUACUACUAAAAAGUUAGAGAUUAAAAUAUUUUGUAUUUAUUACAUCAUUUACAUCAUUUAUAUUUAUUACCAAGUAUCGAAUGGUAGAAAUGUCAUGGAAGACAGUUGGUUCUUUGUAAUGUUGCUCCAGAUGAUUGACUAAAACUUUGUAAGCACGUAUGGCAUGACUUGAUGGUAAAUAAUAAAUUUUCGAUGUUAAUAUUUUUAUCACACCAACAACUGCAGUCUUUACAUCUUUAAUAUCGACAUCUUUCGUAACUGGAGUAUCAGAAGUGAAUGGUUUGUUGAUUACCUUAACAUACAUUUUUAAUUUGAAUAUGUUAUAUUAAAAAUGUUUUAUGUAAAUAAAUAUCUAAAAAAUUAUAUACCUUCUCCAGUAUGUCUAAAAGUUCUAAACAUCUUUUUGUAUCACACUCAAGACAAAGAUCAACAAGUAAAUGUGCAACACCAUUACGAAUUGUAAUAUCCGAAUCCAUAUCGACAUGUUGAAAAUAUGGCACAAUUAUUCGCUCAAUUAAUUCAUCUUCAUAUCUAGAUCUAUUGAAAGAAACGACAAUUACAAAAUUUAUUUUACAAAAAUUUUUACAAAAUAUCAUUUUAUAUACCUAUUAACUUGAACGACGUUUGUUAAAACAUCAAGAACUUUCAUUCUAACAUUAGUACGUGUUUCAAUUUUAUAAUAACGCUCCAUCAAAUUUGCUAAUCUGG
rnacentral:misc_RNA from 1 species